rnacentral:rRNA from 1 species
AUUGAACGCUGGCGGAAUGCUUUACACAUGCAAGUCGAACGGCAGCACGGACUUCGGUCUGGUGGCGAGUGGCGAACGGGUGAGUAAUGUAUCGGAACGUGCCCAGUCGUGGGGGAUAACGUAGUGAAAAUUACGCUAAUACCGCAUACGAUCUAUGGAUGAAAGCGGGGGAUCGCAAGACCUCGCGCGAUUGGAGCGGCCGAUAUCAGAUUAGGUAGUUGGUGGGGUAAAGGCCCACCAAGCCAACGAUCUGUAGCUGGUCUGAGAGGACGACCCGCCACACUGGAACUGAGACACGGUCCAGACUCCUCCGUGAGGCAGCAGUGGGGAAUUUUGGAAAAUGGGCGAAAGCCUGAUCCAGCCAUUCCGCGUACAGGAUGAAGGCCCUCGGGUUGUAAACUGCUUUUGUACAGAACGAAAAGGUUUCUCCUAAUACUAGGAGCUCAGGACGGUACUGUAAGAAUAAGCACCGGCUAACUACGUGCCAGCAGCCGCCGUAA